CACGCGCUAGGCCUUUCCCUUAAGCCUGUGACCAAGAUCUCCGGGACUCCCAGCGUUGGGACGGGCGCGCUGGCCCACGCCCAAGCGGGAGGAUCGCUUGCGCCCAGGAGAUUGAGACCAGCCUGAGCACCAAAGCGAGACCUCGUCUCUACAAAAAAUAAGACUCAAGAAGACACCCAGGGUGAAUCGCCCGUCUGCAGCCAGCCUCCCGAGCACCGUGGCCGCGUCUGACAACUGACCUCUGUGUCUGGGUGUCCCUGUCCUCAGAGGGACACGGGACCUCAGAAAGGACCACAGCCCGGCGGCAGGCAUGAUGGUGGGAAAGCUAGUUAGGACAGAAUACACAAAAGAAUUUCUCAAAAAACAGUAAACGAACAGCAACCCGAUAGAAAAACGAGGAAAGAAUAUGAAUAAGCAGCUCCAGAAGAGGAAAUUCAGGUGGCCGGUAAACACAUGAAAAAGAUGCUCAUCUUCACUGGUCACCAGGAAAAUGUGUGAGUGUA
rnacentral:lncRNA from 10 species